rnacentral:rRNA from 1 species
GACGGACGCUGGCGGCGUGCUUAACACAUGCCAGUCGAACGGAAAGGCCCCAGCUUGCUGGGGUACUCGAGUGGCGAACGGGUGAGUAACACGUGGGUGAUCUGCCCUGCACUCUGGGAUAAGCCUGGGAAACUGGGUCUAAUACCGGAUAGGACCGUGCUUUAGUGUGUGCGGUGGAAAGUUUUUCGGUGCAGGAUGAGCCCGCGGCCUAUCAGCUUGUUGGUGGGGUAAUGGCCUACCAAGGCGGCGACGGGUAGCCGGCCUGAGAGGGUGUACGGCCACAUUGGGACUGAGACACGGCCCAGACUCCUACGGGAGGCAGCAGUGGGGAAUAUUGCACAAUGGGCGCAAGCCUGAUGCAGCGACGCCGCGUGGGGGAUGACGGCCUUCGGGUUGUAAACCCCUUUCGGCAGGGACGAAGCUUUUGUGACGGUACCUGCAUAAGAAGCACCGGCUAACUACGUG